rnacentral:rRNA from 1 species
AUUGAACGCUGGCGGCAUGCUUUACACAUGCAAGUCGAGCGGCAGCGCGGGGGCAACCCUGGCGGCGAGCGGCGAACGGGUGAGUAAUGCAUCGGAACGUACCCUGGAGUGGGGGAUAACGCCGCGAAAGCGGCGCUAAUACCGCAUAUGCUCUGAGGAGGAAAGUGGGGGACCGCAAGGCCUCACGCUCUGGGAGCGGCCGAUGUCCGAUUAGCUAGUUGGUGGGGUAAAGGCUUACCAAGGCGACGAUCGGUAGCUGGUCUGAGAGGAUGAUCAGCCACACUGGGACUGAGACACGGCCCAGACUCCUACGGGAGGCAGCAGUGGGGAAUUUUGGACAAUGGGGGCAACCCUGAUCCAGCCAUGCCGCGUGAGUGAAGAAGGCC